rnacentral:rRNA from 1 species
AAAAAAGCCCUACACCCGUUAAGGCAUCAUGGCCUGUACCCGAAACCGACACAGGUGGGGUGGUAGAGAAUACCGAGGGGCGCGAGGUAACUCUCUCUAAGGAACUCGGCAAAAUGGCCCCGUAACUUCGGGAGAAGGGGUGCCAGCGAGAGCUGGUCGCAGUGAAGAGGCCCAGGCGACUGUUUACCAAAAACACAGGUCUCCGCUAAGUCGCAAGACGAUGUAUGGGGGCUGACGCCUGCCCAGUGCCGGAAGGUUAAGGAAGCUGGUCAGCGCAAGCGAAGCUAGCGACUGAAGCCCCGGUGAACGGUGGCCGUAACGAUAACGGUCCUAAGGUAGCGAAAUUCCUUGUCGGGUAAGUUCCGACCCGCACGAAAGGCGUAACGAUCUGGGCGCUGUCUCGGAGAGAGGCUCGGCGAAAUAGAAUUGUCUGUGAAGAUGCGGACUACGUGCACCCGGACAGAAAGACCCUAUGAAGCUUUACUGUAGCUUGGUAUUGUGCUCGGGCUCGGAAUGCGCAGGAUAGGUGGGAGGCUUGGAUCCAUUGCUUGCGGGUGAUGGUGAGCCACUGGUGAGAUACCACUCUUUCCGAGCUAGAGUUCUAACCCUCGCCCGUUAUCCGGGGAGGGGACAGUAUCAGGUGGGCAGUUUGACUGGGGCGGUCGCCUCCUAAAAGGUAACGGAGGCGUGCAAAGGUUCCCUCAGGCUGGUUGGAAAUCAGCCGACGAGUGCAAAGGCAGAAGGGAGCUUGACUGUGAGACCUACAAGUCGAACAGGGACGAAAGUCGGCCUUAGUGAUCCGACGGUUCUGCGUGGAAGGGCCGUCGCUCAACGGAUAAAAGUUACUCUAGGAUAACAGGCUGAUCUCCCCCAAGAGUUCACAUCGACGGGGAGGUUUGGCACCUCGAUGUCGGCUCAUCGCAACCUGGGGCUGAAGUCGGUCCCAAGGGUUGGGCUGUUCGCCCAUUAAAGCGGUACGCGAGCUGGGUUCAGAACGUCGUGAGACAGUUCGGUCCAUAUCCGGUGCACGCGCAGGAAUAUUGAGAGGAUUUCUCCCUAGUACGAGAGGACCGGGAGGAACGCACCUCUGGUGUGCCAGUUAUCGUGCCAACGGUAAACGCUGGGUAGCCAUGUGCGGAGAGGAUAACCGCUGAAAGCAUCUAAGUGGGAAGCCCACCUCAAGAUGAGUAUUCCCAUGGCAAAAGCCAGUAAGGUCACGGGAAGAUUACCCGUUGAUAGGCUCUACGUGGAAGCGCAGCAAUGCGUGAAGCGGAGGAGUACUAAUAGACC